UACGUAGGGGGCAAGCGUUGUCCGGAUUCAUUGGGCGUAAAGCGCGUGUAGGCGGUCCGGUAAGUCCGCUGUGAAAGCCAGGGGCUCAACCCUUGGAUGCCGGUGGAUACUGUCGGGCUUGAGUACGGAAGAGGCGAGUGGAAUUCCUGGUGUAGCGGUGAAAUGCGCAGAUAUCAGGAGGAACACCAAUUGCGAAGGCAGCUCGCUGGGACGUUACUGACGCUGAGACGCGAAAGCGUGGGGAGCAAACAGG
rnacentral:rRNA from 1 species